UAGUGAGUUUGAUCCUGGCUCAGAACGAACGCUGGCGGCAUGCCUAACACAUGCAAGUCGAACGAAGCCUUCGGGCUUAGUGGCGCACGGGUGCGUAACGCGUGGGAAUCUGCCCUUGGGUACGGAAUAACAGUGAGAAAUUACUGCUAAUACCGUAUGAUGUCUUCGGACCAAAGAUUUAUCGCCCAGGGAUGAGCCCGCGUAGGAUUAGCUAGUUGGUGAGGUAAAGGCUCACCAAGGCUACGAUCCUUAGCUGGUCUGAGAGGAUGAUCAGCCACACUGGGACUGAGACACGGCCCAGACUCCGUACGGGGAGGCAGCGAGUGGGGUAAUAUUGCACGAAUGGGGCGCAAGCCUGAUGCAGCAACGCCGCGUGAGGG
rnacentral:rRNA from 1 species